rnacentral:rRNA from 1 species
UACGAAGGGGGCUAGCGUUGCUCGGAAUCACUGGGCGUAAAGGGUGCGUAGGCGGGUUUUUAAGUCAGGGGUGAAAUCCUGGAGCUCAACUCCAGAACUGCCUUUGAUACUGAAGAUCUUGAGUCCGGGAGAGGUGAGUGGAACUGCGAGUGUAGAGGUGAAAUUCGUAGAUAUUCGGAAGAACACCAGUGGCGAAGGCGACUUACUGGACACAUAUUGACGCUGAGGUGCGAAAGCGUGGGGAGCAAACGGG